AGGAUUGUCAGCCACCACCAGAAGCUGGAAGAGGGACUCGGAAUCCCCCCUCAGAAUCUGCAAUAGAAACCAAUUCUGCCAACAUCUUGAGUUUGGACUUCUGGCCUCCAGAAAGAUUCCAGUACACUGGCUCUGGCUGACGAUUCAGUUUGCUCAGUAGGCUACCAAGCACGAGAGCCAUCCCAGCCUAAUGGCCUCCUUGUUCAAUUACUUUAACAAAAGCAAGCCCACACCCUGUGGCAUCAUCACCAAAAAUGGAUCCAGUGAGUUCCAGAAGAAUUGUGUUUACUCCCUCACACUCCAUGCCUGGCACUGGGGCACCUGGCCCAUUGUUCUAGGACCAGCUUUGAUGGGGAAAAGAGAUGGGUAAAAACAACCACACCCACUCAGGUGGUCCUUCUCAGCCUCCAGGCCAAAUGCCUCCAUCAUCCUACCUCAGAAACUUCACUCACACUACAUUCAAGGCCCCAGAACUCACCAGUCUGAAUUUGAUCCAUUUCCCAGACCCAGUCAUGUGGGGCUCACACACCCCUGAUCCUCCUUCCUCUGUGACACCUGCCAGCACAGCAUGGAAUCACUUGAUCAACAUAACACCUCACAGUCACACAGAAUGACAGAGAGAGGCAGAGACACAGACAGAGGGAGAAGCAGGCUCCAUGCACCGGGAGCCCGACGUGGGAUUCGAUCCCGGGUCUCCAGGAUCGUGCCCUGGGCCAAAGGCAGGCGCCAAACCGUUGCACCACCCAGGGAUCCCAUGGAGUCACUUUUUUCAAGGGAAAAAGCAGAUAUCAUCAACACAAGUGCAUAAAGAACAAAACCUAACUUCACCUAACAGGAGUUUAUAACUCUCGUCAGAGAUGGGCAGAAGAUGCCAGCCAAUACCUAAACACGAAGUCUGUUCACACCAUCUCUGGACUUUCCUGUUGGCCUGACUCAGGUACCCUGAUCCAAAUAAAGAAGGAGGCCACUAGGCAACCAAUCAGAUAAAAAUAGCCAAAUAGCUUCUGUAUUUACCCUAUAAAAAUCCCUUUGGAGCAACUUGGAACUCAUUGCCCGGUAACCGA